rnacentral:rRNA from 1 species
AGUGAACGCUGGCGGUAGGCCUAACACAUGCAAGUCGAACGGCAGCACAGGAGAGCUUGCUCUCUGGGUGGCGAGUGCCGGACGGGUGAGGAAUACAUCGGAAUCUACUUUUUCGUGGGGGAUAACGUAGGGAAACUUACGCUAAUACCGCAUACGACCUCCGGGUGAAAGCAGGGGAUCUUCGGACCUUGCGCGAUUGAAUGAGCCGAUGUCGGAUUAGCUAGUUGGCGGGGUAAAGGCCCACCAAGGCGACGAUCCGUAGCUGGUCUGAGAGGAUGAUCAGCCACACUGGAACUGAGACACGGUCCAGACUCCUACGGGAGGCAGCAGUGGGGAAUAUUGGACAAUGGGCGCAAGCCUGAUCCAGCCAUACCGCGUGGGUGAAGAAGGCCUUCGGGUUGUAAAGCCCUUUUGUUGGGGAAGAAAUCUAGCUGGUUAAUACCCGGUUGGGAUGACGGUACCCAAAGAAUAAGCACCGGCUAACUUCGUGCCAGCCGCCGCCGUAA